AGACUCAAAGGGCUAGAUUCUCAUCCUGUCCUCUGCACGAGGGGAGCAUCAGGGAAAUGGCUGCAAUUUCUUGUGGGAUGCCCUGCCUUACAAGAAGGCCGGAGUCCUUUUUCCCAGAAAUCUGCCCUCUUCUCCUUCUCCUGACACUAGACUCAUCCCCUAGGCCAGGUGGAAUCAUUUCUGCAAGUCAUGUUUCACAGGAGCUGGAGACCAUUCGAGGGUUUGAUGGGUCUCAGCAGGCUCUCUAUCACACCCGAGCACACUUCACAAAGACAGCAUAUUCCUCCUACAAGACUUUGUGGAGGACCUUUUGGAGGGCAAAUAUCUAUCAAUAGUUGUAAAGAAAAAAAAUCCUGAAUUUCUAACAUUAGGUGGUAAAAUUUUGUCUUUUUCUGAUUUCCACUGGCAGAACAAACCAAGCAUCUUCCUUCUCUGGAAAUUGUGAGUAAGGGCUGUGGGAGGGAACACACAUCUAUCUGAUGGCCUUAUAGGAUAGUCCCACGUACAAAAAAACCAUUUUGCAAUUUCACAAUUCUAAAUGUAUUCUCAUCUGUUGCAGUGGGUAUGCUUAGAGGCCAGAUGAUAGCCAAAUAGGUAUCUAAGCAACUGUUCUAUAACAGACUAAAAUUGGGGAGCUACAAGUGGGAUCGUAAGAAACAUAGAAACAUUAUGCCAGAAAAAUCACAAGGACAAGAGCACUGCCAGUGGCUCCAGGCAAGGGACUGCAGUUGAGCAUCAGAGCUGCACUGCAGACAAGACACCUCAAUGCUGCCGUUGUGGAGUGAUUGUCCAGGCAAACGCAGUUAAACUCUCGAGGAGAGUCGUUAUUUCACCUCCCCUACCUUUCCUCAUCUUAAGUCUGUGGUUCUGUCUUCUCCUUUAUGUAACAUUUUGAAAAACUCUAUCCCUGAAGCCCCAUCCCAGAGAUUCUCUUUUUCAACAAAACCAUCGUUGAUGUUUAAUUGACUUACUAUGAGCUAAACCUACUUAAAAUGCUCAAUUAGGUAAGUUUUGGCAUACAUAUAUACCCAUAAAACCAUCACCACAGUCAAGAAAAUGAACACAUUCAUCAUUCUAAAGAAUUUCCUCCUGCCCCUUUGUAAUACUUCCCUUACGCUACUCCAGCCUCCAUACCCAGACAACCACAGAUAGGAUUUCUGUCACAAUAUAUUUAUUAUCGUUUCCUAAAGUUCUGUGUAAAUGAAAUCAGUGUGUACUCUUUUUUUGUCUUCUAUCACUCAGCAUAAUUUUUUUGA
ensembl:lncRNA